UGCCUACGGGGGGCAGCAGUGAGGAAUAUUGGUCAAUGGCCGAGAGGCUGAACCAGCCAAGUCGCGUGAGGGAUGACGGCCCUACGGGUUGUAAACCUCUUUUGUCGGGGAGCAAGACCCGCCACGAGUGGCGGAGCGAGAGUACCCGAAGAAAAAGCAUCGGCUAACUCCGUGCCAGCAGCCGCGGUAAUACGGAGGAUGCGAGCGUUAUCCGGAUUUAUUGGGUUUAAAGGGUGCGCAGGCGGACCAUCAAGUCAGCGGUAAAAUCGCGGGGCUCAACCUCGCUCCGCCGUUUAAACUGGCGU
rnacentral:rRNA from 1 species